rnacentral:lncRNA from 1 species
AAAUUGUAUAUAACAUUACAAAGGAUUAGAUUUCGCUGAAAUAUUGAAAUAAAUUUCGGAUCUUUCUAGAUAGUGGUGAAUUGGAACUGUUUUUGGAAAGGAUAAGUCGAGUAUUGGGCUAUUUAUCUCCUAUAGGUGAGCCAUGAACAUGUUCAUGCUGCUUCAAGGCUUAAAGCCCAAUCUGAAAAUUUAUAAGAUGCAAAAUAAUACUCUUCAUAGCCAUAGGCCAUGUAAAACCUGCACAAUAGAACAUUUCUAUAAAUUUAAGUCUAAUUGCAACUAGAAAAUUAAAAUGGAUCAACGAAGUAGUAAAAAAUAAAUUAACAAAUUUAGUCAACGCAAUGAAACAACUAAUCCAAUGCUAGAACUAAACGACCAAGAUAAAUGAAAAAGUUUUAUUUUGCAAGAAUUUUCUUCUCCUCGUGCUAGAAGAAAAGAAGCUUCUAGAGUAGAGAACACAGAAAUAUAGAGACAUCAGUAAGACAAAUAAAAGAAGUAGAAUAAUGAAAUACUUGUCAUCAAUAUCCUGUCAAUGGUCUUUCGUUGCCAAAACUUUGCAACAUCACUCUUUGAGGUAUGCAUUUAUGCUGUAGAAGGCAGUGGUUAGUGCUCUACUAAUCUCUAAUUGGUUUUACUUUUUAACGACUGGGAUGCGUUUAUGACAUUUUGACGGCAUAGAAAAAUGUUAUUGGCUAUCUAAUAAAAUCCGACCUAUAAAGUUGUGGUUGGUAUAAAACCAGUCCAGAAAGGGCGAGACCGAGCAGUGCAUGCCUCAGUUGUGUUGAAGCUUAUGCCCUGUGAUGUACCCUUACUAUGUCAAGACAUAAUUCUUGUGAAGGGCCAUUCAAAGGAUAAGCUUUGAGAGCCCUAAUGAAUGCUUGCACAUUAGGAGGUACCCUUCCGGCGCUUUUGAAAGCAUUGAAUGGGGAAGAGUGGACUGAAAAUAGGUUCUACUGGAUUGUGUAGGAAAAAUGCUGCAAAUUUAAUAGUUUCAACACGUGAAGAACUUUGGGGUAAGGCGAGAUC